UUUCUCCCUAUAAUUUUCAUUUUGUACUUCCUAGUAACUUUUUUUGUUUUAAACAUCUUUUUGGUACUCUUUUAUUUUCUUCCAAGAGAGUUUUGAGGAGAAAUAAAGUUUGUUUAGCACAUCACUAAAUGCAUUCCAUUCAAGUUUGCUUAAAAUCUACAUUUUGUUCUUUGCUGAUUUUGUGUAUAGGGCGCAGCUGGUGGUGCUGAAGCUAGGCCUUUCAUUACAUACCAUAACUCUCUUGGGCAAGAUAUGUAUCUACGAAUCGCAACUGAGCUCCAUUUAAAGAGAAUGCUGGUUGGUGGAUUUGAAAAAGUAUAUGAAAUAGGAAGGAUUUUCCGGAAUGAAGGCCUUUCAACUCGUCAUAAUCCUGAAUUCACCACCAUUUGAGUACUUUCAUGAGGAAGAAGGAUUUCAGGAAAGAGCAACUAGUUCUUGAGGACUUAGUGCUAGAAUACGUAGUAUGAUAGAUUUUUGUUUUAGCUAUAAGGUAGUUGGUAUUUUCAAUUUUGAAUCGGAAUAUGCAAUGAUGAUGUAUACUUGAUAUUUGGUUCAUUUGUAUAAUAAUGUAUGAAUUUUUU